rnacentral:hammerhead_ribozyme from 1 species
AUCCAGCUGACGAGUCCCAAAAUAGGACGAUACGCGCUUCCUAGAU